AAAAAAAAAAAAAAAAAAGGAGAGUUUAGUCAGUCAACCUUCUUCUUGGGCCAAUCUUUAGCAGUUUUCAUGGCUUCUUUCCUUAGGCUUUCAUUAGGAAGACGAUGGCAACGAACUACCAAAUCCAUGGAAGGGCCAACUUCUACCAGUUCAACACAAGGAACUAUUUAGCCAGACUUUUUCAGCCAUAUAGCACAGUAAGGAACUCCCGGUUUGAAGAUACAGCUGUACAUAGAUAUGCAUGAUCCAAACCAGCAAGGUUCAAGUUUUCCACAACCUGCAUAGGUCAGAUCCAUGCUUCUAUCAAUGCUCUUACAAAGUUGAGAACUGAAAGUGGCUAGCAGAGAUACACCUCUCCCCUCAGGAGGUCAAGCAUAACCUCCUUCAAAUGUUUCAACUCUUCUACACUUUCAAAUCCUUCUCCAAGAAAAGCAAUGAAAGGUUUAGAACCUACGAGUGGAGCUAAUUUCUUGUCAUAUGUAAAUGAUGACGCGGGUUUAAAAUUUUCGACCCCUACUUCCUCGAGAUCAUAUAUGUGGUGAUCAUAUGUUUGCCCACAAAAAUGCUACAGUCCGUUUUUUGAGAAAAAAAAAACUCAAGUUUCGCCGCCGCUCUCAAUUGGCGUUAUAUUAUCAUUCUUUGGGGUAUAUCUAACGGCAAUCACCCUCUUUAGAUGAUAAAUCCGCCAAAACAGCAUUCAGUACGCUGCUCGUAUUUGUACCUUGAAGUAUCAAGGUCUUCUUCCCAGUUUCGACCAGUUUUGGAUCACGUUUUUCGAGCUCGCUCUUGAUACUUCCUUUCUUGGGGUUUUUACCUUCAACAUGGUUGCUUUUCAAUUCCUGCCAUAACAAAGGAAGAAGACAUGAAAAAUUGAAAACUCAGUGAUAAAAUUGAUUCCUUUACAUUCGAUAAUCAAUGAAGAGGGAAAGAGAACUUGCAAAUUUU
rnacentral:misc_RNA from 1 species